GUUGAUGUUUAGUCUCCGGUGAAAUGUGGUGAGCGCGUUUUAACCACAAAUUGUGCAUCCAAUUUAUUUUUAUUUUUUUCUCUUCAGAUUUUUUUAGAAUGUCUUUACGGAGUGUCUUUUUGUAAAUCGAAAUGUCUUUUGCCGACUAUGGAUUCGAAGUUUUCCCCUUCGAUUCGCAAAAUCGUGCCAACGUCGUUCACUCGUCCGGAGACUACCUGCCGUCCUCGGUGCCCUUAUCAGGCAAAAAUAACUCCAGCCCUUACAUCGAAAAUUCUUGCUAUCAGCUGAUUAUCGAUCAUCUCAUCUACCUGGGCACCUGCACCGAAAAUGAAUUGGCCCUGGUUCAGUUGGAGCUCGAAAAAUACAAGAAGCUCCAGCUCACCGAGGAGCAGAUGAAGCUUCUAAGACGACUGGAUGCCGAUUGCAAGAAAUUGGAGGAAAUCAGAAGACUCACAAGUGAUUCGGAGAUCGAUAAUCCUCCUUACAGCAGCAAAGUCUGCAGGAAUCUAUGUGACGGUGAUCACGACGAUCGUCGGCGUCCUUUGAAUGAAUUCAAGGUCAGUGAACUGAAUAACUGGUGCAGUUGUAGCAGCGAGAACGUUUCACCACGAAGACAGGGUAAAAAUGCGAUUCUCAUGUCGGAAGAAAGCUUCCGAGCGACCAUCAUUCAAAAGGACUCGGAAAUUAUUUCCCUGAAGAACGAGAAGGCAGUUAAAGAAACCGAGGUGAGAGAGCUCGAGGAGGAAAAGAGAAAAUUAGAAGUGGUUAUGGAGAAGAUGAGGAGCGACAUCGAGCUACUGGAGAGCAGUUCGAGAAUUUCUCAGUCGAACGUAGAGGAAAUUAUCCGACAGAAAAACGAAGAGCUUGAGGCUUUGCGGCGAAAAAGCGAGAUAAUAGAAGAGAAACUGAGUUUGGAGUACGAGGCUAGAAUCUCAGCGGAGCACAAGCUGCAGACUGUCAUCGGUGAAAUUCAAGCUCUGCGAAAGAAUCUUGCUGAGGAAUCGAAAACGUCGAAGCGUCGCAUCCAGGACCUCGAGGAGUCAAACGCUUCCCAGACUGCUGUGAUGAAGCAGCUGCAGCGGGAACGAGAGGAUCUCGAAAAGCAGAGCAGCGAGCAGGAGAACGAGAUCGAGAAACUGCUGAGCAUAAUGAAGCGCUUGAACGAAAAGCACGAGAGAUCGAAAACGGAGCUGUCAGCGAGCGAGCGCAGGGUCGGCCAGUGCCGGGAACAGCUCGAGAAGGUGGAGCACGAGGUGAGCCGACUCAUCGCCGAGCUAUCCGACUGCCUCGGACGCGUUGACCCUUCGAUCGCCGAGCCACUGAUGGAGGAGGAUCUUUACGCGCGAGCGAGUCAGCUGACCAGAGGCCUGAGCAAGUUCGUAAGCGAGCACGGAAGGUGCCAGGCGGACAGGCAGGAUCUGCUGCGGCAAAUCGACCGGCUGCGCACGGCUCGACCACCGGACAAGGCUGGCAAUCGAAUAAGCGCCGAGAACUAUCGCGCGAUCAAGUCCGAUCUGGAGGGCAUAGUCGACGAGCUGCUCUCGCGUCUCGACGAGGCUCGCCGGCUGGAGAAGAGCCAGCGGGCCUAUCUGCAACUCGCCGGGGAGGCGUCGCUGGCGCUUCAAAAGCUCGAGCAGAAGAUCGACGACCAUCACGUCUACAAGCGCUGCGAGAGCUUUCUUCUUCUGGAGCUCGAGAAUCUGCAGGAUGCUCUGGACGGGGCUGAGAAAACCAUCAACGGCUUGGAGUGCAACAGAAUCCCGAGGACGGAGCUUUCGAGCGAUUACUCGGAGGUCGAGGCUGUGCUGUCGAAGAAGCUCCUCCAGCGAGUUCAGAACUCCACUCAGAUCGUCAUUCGGAUCAGCACAGCUCUCCGCGACGACUCCAAACUGAAGACGACGUACAACAGGAACCUGGAGAACCAGCUGCAGCAGGCCCUCCUAGCGCUCAACGAAAUCGGCAUCGAAAAGUGCCAACUGCAGACCGACUUCACCGAGGCCGAGGAAAAGCGCAAUGAGCUGGCCCUCCAGGUCGAGAAGUUGAGAGCCGCCCUGGCGGAAAAGUCCGAUGAGCUCGAAUCCACUCGCAAGCAGGCGAGCCUCGCGGAGAAGAAGUUCCACGAGAGCCGUUCGGAAAACGCGGCCCUGAUCGCCAAGAGCGACGAGAUGAUCGAGAGCUUGCAGCGCGAGCUUCAGAACCGCGAGGCGAAGCUCCGGGACUACGGGAAAUUCAACGACUUCAUCAACGGCAAGCUCGAAGAAUCGAACCGCAUGAUCGAGCAGCUCCAGAACAGCAUCGUGCGCGAGAACAUGCGCAAGCUCGACCUGGACAGCUUCACGGCGCUGCACGAGCGCAUCCUCGAGCUCGUCGCCGAGAAGGACGAGCUGACCGACAAGAUCGCGAUGCUCCAGUCUCAGCUGGCCAGCUACGAGCGCAACAACAGCAAGCUCCAGACCGACCUGACCAAGCUUCUGGAGGACAACGAUUCCCUCGAGAAGGCCAUACGGAAGUUCAAGAGCGAAAACGAGCGACUCGCCAGUCAGAGGAUCAAAGAGAACGAAGCCGAGAACGCGAACAUCCGCGCCAAGUGCGACGAGGUAGUCGAGAAGGUGGGCAAGAUUUCCAGAGACUCGAGGCUCGUCUGCCCGCAGAGGCUGAGCAGCAACAGUAGCAACGACAAAGAGCUCAAGGCUCACAAGGACAAGCUGAGUGAGUUUUCAGCUCUGCUACCAGGAGAAGGAGCUGAUGAUGAAGGAGCGAGAGAUCGCCGAGCUGAGGAAGAGGGAGAACAACUGCGCACUUCUGAAGCGCAUCGAGACCCUCACGCGCGAGAAGACAGAGCUCAAAGACGAGCUGAAGCAAACAUUGGCCAAGUACGAGGAUAAACUCGCUGAAAUGCACAAGCAGUACAAACAGAGCGAGAUCGAGUUGCACAAAAAGCACAACGACAGCAUAAGACGACUGGAAGCCAAGUACACGGAGAUGAUGCGGGAGGACGGAGAGGCGGUCUUCGACUCUAAAAACUGGCUCAAGUCCCUCAGCCCCAGCGAACUGCAGGAAGUCCACGACGAGAUCUGCAAGACGCCGAUAUGCUCGGCCAGUAAGUACGAGAAGGAGCUUUACGAGGACCAGGCGAAGAGGAGCUUGAUGAGCAAGAACGCGACGCCGAACUACGGCAUUAAAAAGUCACUGCAGACGAGGAAAGAGGCGCGAGGCCCGAACUUCGUCAAGCCCAGCAGCAGUCGGCCGCGGAUGUCGGCGAGGGAAAGCUCGAGCAAUCAGUCCAUAAUCGUCCCGGAGAAGGACAACUCGUUCCAGCACCAGAGAACGAGCAGAUGCAAGUAGUGCGUUGCAGCGCUUGUAAUUUUCAGGAAUAAACUCGAACUACACUACAAAAAA